UUAGUACGGCGAGUGAAGCGGUAAAAGCUCAAAUUUGAAAUCUGGUACUUUCAGUGCCCGAGUUGUAAUUUGUAGAAUUUGUCUUUGAUUAGGUCCUUGUCUAUGUUCCUUGGAACAGGACGUCAUAGAGGGUGAGAAUCCCGUUUGGCGAGGAUACCUUUUCUCUGUAAGACUUUUUCGAAGAGUCGAGUUGUUUGGGAAUGCAGCUCAAAGUGGGUGGUAAAUUCCAUCUAAAGCUAAAUAUUGGCGAGAGACCGAUAGCGAACAAGUACAGUGAUGGAAAGAUGAAAAGAACUUUGAAAAGAGAGUGAAAAAGUACGUGAAAUUGUUGAAAGGGAAGGGCAUUUGAUCAGACAUGGUGUUUUUUGCAUGCACUUGCCUCUCGUGGGCUUGGGCCUCUCAAAAAUUUCACUGGGCCAACAUCAAUUCUGGCAGCAGGAUAAAUCAUUAAGAAUGUAGCUACUUCGGUAGUGUUAUAGCUUUUUGGAAUACUGUUAGCCGGGAUUGAGGACUGCGCUUCGGCAAGGAUGUUGGCAUAAUGGUUAAAUGCCGCCCGUCUUUGAAACACGGACCAUUU
rnacentral:rRNA from 1 species